UGCCUGAGCUGGCAUCCUCUUCCUCCUGUCGGCGGGAGGUGUGGAUCACCUACUGCGUGCGGGGAACAAACGCCGCCCCAGUACCGGUCCCUGCAGCGGAGUAGCCUUCACCUGCAAGGUGAACGCCUGCUCACCACGUAAUCCCCAAACGCAGAUAUCACGUUGUCUCUGCAACUUUCCCUGACAACCACCCAAUGCAAUUAAUUAUCCCACAAUAGUAUCUCCCGCAGGCUCUCUGUAGAACCAUAGAAUUCAUCCAUCAAAAUACAAUCAUUUGUUGAUCCGUCUCUCUCUGCCGCCCCCAAAUGUGAAUUCCUUGAGUCAGAGACUAUUCUACUCAGCAAAACAUUUGUGAGUGGAAUUAAAUUGAAAUAAACCGUUAUAGUCCACUCACAGAUGGAAAACACAUAGUAAAAUCCUAGAAUUCCAUUUCUCCCCUGAAAAUUUCCCAGACAGUCAGAGGGAGUUUCAUUCUUUCCUGUUUACUUUUCUCCCAAAUAGGCCUUCUGAGGCAGCAGAAUAGGGAAGGAAGUCAGAAGACUGACCAGCUCAUACCUAUGGAAUGCCUAUCAUACAUACACUUAAAAUUAUGGCAAGCUCACGCAGGCGCACUAAGAGAGAAAAAACAAGAAAACAGAUAUGACAAUUAUAGGAAAUCCCCUCCCUAGAGUUAAAGAAGUGUAGGAAGUGGGUAUAAAAGAACAAAGGCUAUAUUAAUCCAGGGCUGACACCACUUGAAGAUAAGCCCGUUCCUCUCUCUGGUAUAUUCUUUGCUUAAUAAAUCUUGUGGGGUGGUUAUUUGUGUGUCUCAUCCAAUUCUUUGUUCAUAACACCAAGAACCUGGAACUCCCAACUUCCAAUCUGGUAACAUAUUUUGGUGAGCCAGCCAGGAGGGUCAAGCCUGCAAUACCUAAAGCUCCAGACCUGGAACCCAAAGCUCCCAUCAGUCGCUACCCUGUGAACCUGUGGAGGAUCUGAAGUACCUGUUUAAAAGGCAUCCAAAAGAUAGGUCUUGUUGAACUGGCUAGUGCUUCAACAACAAUGCUAAAUAAUAAAGGAUCUAACAAUAUUUCUGCUUUAAAUUGAUUUCAGAGGGAAUGUCUCUAACGUUGCAGUUAAGUAUCAUGUAAGCUUUAGGCCUGAGAUAGAUCUUUUAUCCAGUUAAAGGAAUAUUUGUCUGUUCUUAAGUUUUAUAAGGAAUUAGUUCUGCAUUUGAUUAAAUGUCUUUCAAGUAUUUCUUUGAAUUGUUGACAGCAGAUACAUAUUCUUUUUUUUUGUUUUGUUUUGAGACUGAGUCUUGCUCUGUCGCCCAGGCUGGAGCGCAGUG
rnacentral:lncRNA from 1 species